rnacentral:rRNA from 1 species
UGAGGAAUAUUGGUCAAUGGGCGAGAGCCUGAACCAGCCAAGUAGCGUGCAGGAUGACGGCCCUAUGGGUUGUAAACUGCUUUUAUAUGGGAAUAAAGUGAGGGACGUGUCCCUUAUUGCAUGUACCAUAUGAAUAAGGACCGGCUAAUUCCGUGCCAGCAGCCGCGGUAAUACGGAAGGUCCAGGCGUUAUCCGGAUUUAUUGGGUUUAAAGGGAGCGUAGGCUGUUUGUUAAGCGUGUUGUGAAAUAUACCGGCUCAACCGGUGGCUUGCAGCGCGAACUGGUCGACUUGAGUAUGCAGGAAGUAGGCGGAAUUCAUGGUGUAGCGGUGAAAUGCUUAGAUAUCAUGACGAACUCCGAUUGCGCAGGCAGCUUACUGUAGCAUAACUGACGCUGAUGCUCGAAAGUGCGGGUAUCAAACAGG